CGACUAUAUCACGUUGAAACACCGCUUCUCGUACGAUCACCGAAGUUAAGCAACGUCGAGCCUUGUCAGUACCUAGAUAAGUAACCGCUUAGAAAUACCAGGUGCU